GUCUGGUAUAGUCAGCACAAUCUUGAGCUUAACACCCUUAAGACUGUGGAGAUGGUCGUGGAUUUUAGGAAGCUUCCACAGUGCUGCCCCCCCUCACAAUAUCCAACAGCCCAGUGUCAAUGGUGGACUCAUUCAAGUUCUUGGGAACUAUCAUUUCCAGGGAUCUGAAGUGGGAAACAAACAUCAACUCCAUCCUCAAAAAGGCUCAGCAGAGGAUGUAUUUCUUACGGCAACUAAGGAAGUACGGCCUACCACAAGAGCUGCUGACCAUCUUCUACACUGCUGCAGUCGAAUCCAUACUUUGCUCAUCCAUCACUGUCUGGUUUGGGUCAGCCACAAAAAUGGACAAAUGCAGACUACAGCGUAUUAUUAAAACAGCAGGAAAAAUCAUUGGUGCCCAGCUGCCCUCUGUCCAGGAACUGUACAUCAGCAGGACCAGGAAAAAGGCAGUGAAUAUUGUCCAAGAUGCCACACAUCCUGCAUCUACUCUCUUCCAUCUCCUCCCAUCUGGCAGACGCGAUAGAUCGCUGUACACAAAAACUACCAGACACAAGAACAGUUUCUUUCCUUCAGCCAUUUCUCUCCUGAAUCUGUAGAUUCUUUUACCAUCCUUUUGUAGUGGGAUGAGUCACCUGCCACCGAGUAAUUGGACGACCUAUCAUUGAGGGAAGGCGCUCAUAUAAAUAGGGCCUGAGGUGGCGCUACAGCGAUCUUUUACUUUGGCUUAACUUCCGCUUCCUGUGUGAAGAGCUGUUGUGUACGGGACUCCGGCGUGUCGGACUGAAUUGUUGUAUGUGGUCCUCCCAGAGUAACGGAAGGCUUCUUUUAUCCUAUCUGCUUCAAAGAAGUGGUAUGUACAUCUGCGCUCCUCUCCACUUAGCUGUGGCUUUAGGAUGAGACUAAUUAAUGUGUCUUCCAGAUCCAGGAAGGGGUGUGUCUCCACAGGAGACUCUGCUGUUCUGCUGCUUUUCUGCACAGUUUCGUGAGAUCUCUGUUACCGGUUGUUGACCCGGUGCUGGACCAUCAUCCGGCUCCAAGACCUCUCCACCCCGCUGCUCGGACUGGUUGACGGGAUCAGCGGAGACCAUCGGGAGCGGCUUUGUCACUCGCUCCUCUGUACCGUAUACCAGCGGAGGGCGUACACCCGCUGUGGGGUUGGGUAUUCUAACGAGGGGCUGCGGGCCCUACCGGCAGUUGUCGUCUGCCCGGGAGCUCAUAAGGACGGCUGAGGCGCAGGCUAAUAGAUUUGUGUGCAGGCGAGCUGUAUGCUCGCUCAUUCCCUGACGGCCUGCCUGCUCAGUCGUGGCUGUGUGUGUGUGUGUGUGUAUGUAUGUGUGGAUUUGGAUUUUUACUGUUUUCUGUUUUCUUUUCAUUUAGGCUGUGAGCUGACGGUGGUGGUCGAGCCCUGGUGGUGGUCCUUUUGAUGGUGUGCGUGUGUUCCAGAGUCACUUCACCCCCCGAAUGCAUGCACGUGUGAUUGGGGUGAAAUUACUUGUGGUUGGUAUUUAGUUCUGGGCUCUCUUAGGCAGCCCCAUUAGUCAGCCUCAGCCUAAGUUGAUUUGGUUUUAAGCAGUGUUGAUCUGCAGGUGCAUGGUGUUUUUAGAUUAUUUUAAACUCAUUUUAUUCUUUGAAUAAAAUCUGUUUGUGUGGAAUGGAA